UAAAAGGAGCUCAACGUUUGUGUCUCGUCUUUUCUAUAUCGCAGGUCUAAAGAAAGGACUGUUCUUGGCAGAGUUAUUAACUUGCUGAACAGUGGAAAGAUAGAGCAGCCAUCUGCGGGAAGAUCUUGCCAGUGACGGUUUUAGCUUUGCAGACACACACUCUGCCCACAAACUGGAACGUCAAUCCAAGACGGGACGGGAAGGCUCACAGUGAGCUGCUGGCACCGGCGAAAACAAAAAGGUUGUGGUGCGUUUGAGAACAUUUGCAGAAGCCAAAGAUGACCUCCAGCUCUGGUCAUGACUACUUCUAUAUCCACUGUUACUGUCAAGAAGACAAUCUCUGCCAGCAAACGCAUAAAAACAUGCCAGGAAUAUGACAGGACAGAGGCGACUUGAGGCCUUGACAUCCGUGUCCAGAGAUGAGGACUUGUGGAUGGAAAUGAAACAAAGAGAUCAGCUCUCUGACAGAGUCAUCGAAGUCUUUCUGUGUAAAGACAGGAAGAUGGAUUUGGUUCUGUAAAAAAUAAUCAGCAA